AUUGAACGCUAGCGGGAUGCUUUACACAUGCAAGUCGAACGAGUGGAGGACGGGUGAGCAAUAUAUCGGAACGUGCCCAGUAGCGGGGGAUGACUACGAGAAAGAGUGGAAAAUACCGCAAACUGUUGGAGCGGCCGAUAGCGGAUGAGCAAGUGGGUGGGGUAAAGGCGCACCAAGGCAACGAUCCGUAGCUGGUUUGAGAGGACGACCAGCCACACUGGGACUGAGACACGGCCCAGCACCCUACGGGAGGCAGCAUUGGGGAAUUUUCGACAAUGGGUGAAACCCUGAUCCAGCCAUCCCGCGUGUAUGAGAAGGCCUUCGGGUUGUAAAGUACUUUUGGCAGAGAAGCGGUAUCUGCAGAAUAAGCACCGGCUAACUACGUGCCAGCCGCCGCGGUAAUAC
rnacentral:rRNA from 1 species